rnacentral:rRNA from 1 species
UCAGUUGUGAAAGUUUGCGGCUCAACCGUAAAAUUGCAGUUGAUACUGGGUAUCUUGAGUGCAGUUGAGGCAGGCGGAAUUCGUGGUGUAGCGGUGAAAUGCUUAGAUAUCACGAAGAACUCCGAUUGCGAAGGCAGCUUGCUGGACUGUAACUGACGCUGAUGCUCGAAAGUGUGGGUAUCGAACAGGAUUAGAUACCCUGGUAGUCCACACGGUAAACGAUGAAUACUCGCUGUUUGCGAUAUACUGCAAGCGGCCAAGCGAAAGCGUUAAGUAUUCCACCUGGGGAGUACGCCGGCAACGGUGAAACUCAAAGGAAUUGACGGGGGCCCGCACAAGCGGAGGAACAUGUGGUUUAAUUCGAUGAUACGCGAGGAACCUUACCCGGGCUUAAAUUGCAGAUGAAUUACGGUGAAAGCCGUAAGCCGCAAGGCAUCUGUGAAGGUGCUGCAUGGUUGUCGUCAGCUCGUGCCGUGAGGUGUAA